rnacentral:rRNA from 1 species
AGUAAUGAAUCGCUAAUGUACCCCGGACUCUGGGAUAGCCAGCCGAAAGGCUGGGUAAUACCAGAUGAUAUGCAGCUAUCGCAUGAUAGUUGCCUCAAAGGUCCGCCGGUCUGGGAGCAGGCGAUUUCGUAUCAGCUAGUUGGUGAGGUAACGGCUCACCAAGGCGACGACGCGUAGCCGGACUGAGAGGUUGGCCGGCCACAUUGGGACUGAGACACUGCCCAGACUCCUACGGGGGGCUGCAGUAACGAAUCUUCCGCAAUGCACGAAAGUGUGACGGAGCGACGCCGCGUGUAGGAGAAUCCCUUCGGGGUGUAAACUACUGUCAGGGGUUAGAAAGUUCUGAUCAACCCCAGAGGAAGGCACGGCUAACUCUGUGCCAGCAGCCGCGGUAAGACAGAGGUGCCAAGCGUUAGGCGGAAUCACUGGGCUUAAAGCGUGUGUAGGCGGAUGUCUAAGUACCUUGUGAAAUCCCACGGCUCAACCGUGGAACUGCUGGGUAUACUGGAUAUCUUGAGCCAGCUAGGGGCUACCGGAACAAAUGGUGGAGCGGUGAAAUGCGUAGAUAUCAUUUGGAACGCCGAUGGUGAAAACAGGUAGCUGGGGCUGUGCUGACGCUGAGACACGAAAGCCAGGGGAGCGAACGGGAUUAGAUACCCCGGUAGUCCUGGCCGUAAACGAUGUCCACUAGAUCGUGGUCCCUCCGAAGGGUUCACGGUCGAAGCAAAAGUGCUAAGUGGACCGCCUGGGAAGUACGGUCGCAAGGCUAAAACUCAAAGAAAUUGACGGGGGCUCACACAAGCGGUGGAGCAUGUGGUUCAAUUCGAAGCAACGCGCAGAACCUUACCUGAGCUUGAC